rnacentral:sRNA from 1 species
CCCUGUUGCUCAAGAGGUGAGUCCAUGUCUUAUUCAAAGACUGUAUUCCUAGUUUCUAAAAGCCAGAACAUGGUUCAGUAAAUGUAAGGUAAGUAAAUAAUUGUUGCUUCCAUUUCCUUUAAAAAGCCAUGCCUCUGCCCUACCCCCAACUCUAGGAGGCCUCACCCUUGCUUUUCAUGAUACCUUACAGGUUUGUGUAUGUGUGGGAUACCACAAGCAGGAGAAUAUUGUAUAAGCUGCCCGGCCAUGCUGGCUCCAUCAAUGAAGUUGCUUUCCACCCUGACGAGCCCAUCAGCAAGCUCCCCAUGGCCUCUAAAAACCACCUGCCAGAUUUCAGGGACUGUUUUAUUUUUUUCUUUUUCUUUUUUCCUGUUUUCUAAUGCAGGCCCAAUGUGACAAAUUUGUUGGUUGGGAUUUUUUUUUUUUUUUGGUAACUGGCUUGUAUGAUAUUUUCUUUCUGUAUUUCUGUAAAUCAUUUUGUAUUAAAAGCCAAAUAGAUGCCUUUUUACAAGA